UGGGGAAUUUUGGACAAUUGGGGAAACCCUGAUCCAGCCAUCCCGCGUGUGCGAUGAAGGCCUUCGGGUUGUAAAGCACUUUUGGCAGGAAAGAAACGUCAUGGGUUAAUACCCCGUGAAACUGACGGUACCUGCAGAAUAAGCACCGGCUAACUACGUGCCAGCAGCCGCGGUAAUACGUAGGGUGCAAGCGUUAAUCGGAAUUACUGGGCGUAAAGCGUGCGCAGGCGGUUCGGAAAGAAAGAUGUGAAAUCCCAGAGCUCAACUUUGGAACUGCAUUUUUAACUACCGGGCUAGAGUGUGCCAGAGGGAGGUGGAAUUCCGCGUGUAGCAGUGAAAUGCGUAGAUAUGCGGAGGAACACCGAUGGCGAAGGCAGCCUCCUGGGAUAACACUGACGCUCAUGCACGAAAGCGUGGGGAGCAAACAGG
rnacentral:rRNA from 1 species